rnacentral:rRNA from 1 species
AGAGUUUGAUCCUGGCUCAGGAUGAACGCUAGCGGCAGGCCUAACACAUGCAAGUCGAGGGGUAGAACACUUCGGUGUUUGAGACCGGCGCACGGGUGCGUAACGCGUAUAGAACCUACCUUUUACAGAGGGAUAGCCCAGAGAAAUUUGGAUUAAUACCUCAUAAUAUUGUUGAAUGGCAUCAUUUGACAAUUAAAGUUUCGGCGGUAAAAGAUGGCUAUGCGUCCUAUUAGUUAGUUGGUGAGGUAACGGCUCACCAAGACAUCGAUAGGUAGGGGUCCUGAGAGGGAGAUCCCCCACACUGGUACUGAGACACGGACCAGACUCCUACGGGAGGCAGCAGUGAGGAAUAUUGGACAAUGGGCGCAAGCCUGAUCCAGCCAUGCCGCGUGCAGGAUGAAGGCCUUCGGUUGUAAACUGCUUUUGUACGGAACGAAAGACUCUGGUUAAUACCUGGGGUCCAUGACGGUACCGUAAGAAUAAGCACCGGCUAACUACGU